ACGUGCCUGUGUCUUUAAGCCACAGCAAUGGUGCUGUGCCGCACCUGUAUGACGUCACUAGAUGCGACUGAUUUGUAGCAAUUGUUAGCCUCGGAGCUCCUUUAAAAGCACGGCGCUGACGAUGCUAAGGUAAGUGGCAGUUUUUGUUGGUUUGCUCGUCUACCGCGUGUUUUCGUCCUGUUUGGGUUUUCUCCUGUGAGUCGGAGCCUGUAGAGGUCUGUGCCUUGACUGUAAAGGGUGCAGUUGUUGGAGUCCUGCUCCAGGAGUUUGUUGCUGCUUGUUUGCGCUUAUAGUGCGUAUAUCUCAACUGUGAGUGUUGUAAGCCUGAGGCUGUCUUGCAUAGGUUCCUGUGUUCCGGCUGUGUGGUCGGUUGACUGGAAGGUUUCCCCCUUUUUUUUAAAGAAGUUUCUCUGCAUCGCUGCUUGCGCAGGUGACUUCUGCUGCUGAUUUGCUGCUGUUGACUUCAAACCAUUGGGGCCGUCUGCUGACGGCGAGCUGCUGUUUUGUUUCUAGCGAUUUUCUUUAGUGUUUUGUUUCUUUGGCACUGUGUACUCAGUUUUUUUGCAAUUGUUGCGCGGUGUGUACGAUUAGAUCAUCAGCGCGCUAGAAUCAUCAGAGCGGUAAUGUUUGUGCGAGUGCGUGUUUUUGUGGGUAGCUGGUAGUGUGCUUGUGUGUGCGUGUUUGUGUCUGGUGCCAGCGUGUGUUUGUGUGUGCAUGUGAGCAUGUUGGUUUAAUUUUGUUGGUAUAUGUUGUUUUUUUAUUUUUAUUUUUUAUUUUUUUUUGUUCCUGUAUUUUUGUUCAUUUCUUUUUGUGUGUUCUGUUUCAGGAGUUGGGGGAUGCCAGCAGGGAGGCUUGGCACCUGGUGGCUGGGUACCUGUGUCUGUGUGUGUUUCACCUUUCUGGCAGUGUAGUGUCACCUGGGUGUGCUGUGCAGUGUAUAUGUGUGCGCUUCACGUGUGGUCUACAGAAUAACUGAACCCUGGUUGUAUUUACAGUGUUUGCUACUCUCUUUUUUUAUGAAUUGUACUUUUUUUUGAACUCCCCUAGGUGGCGUGGUCGGCAAUCUAAAUUCUUAUUGGUACCUUGGUCUCGCUACACUAGCAAGACCAAAUCAAAUCAUGUUCAAAUCAGUUUUUCCAAACAAAACUCCUUCAGACAUUGUGCUGAACAUCAGAGCAAUACUAGGCAAUUAUGGGCAUCUGUAUGCUUAUGUAUGCUCAUGUAAGAUGACAGUUAGCAUCUCCUCUCAGUGUGUUCAACAGCCCUGUGAUAUAGCAUGAGCAGCAGUGCCUGGGUUCUCCUGGAUUGGAGGAAGAAUGUGUUAGUCCUCACUCUCCCUGAUUGGUAGCUAUUUUGGGAGAAAGCGCGGUGAAUCAUAUGGUAAUAAUCUGUCCAUCUCACUACAGUCUAAAUGUAAACCAGUAAAAGUUAUUUUUAUACUGAACAAUAUUAUAUUGAAUAAUGACAGGCUUUGGAUGUGGAAUCAAAAGAGCAUCAGCAUUUUUCAUUGCCAAGCCUUAAUGUAAGAAUAGAGAAUAGCAAAAGCAGCAGUGUAUGCUUCAUAGAAGAGGUUUAUGUGUGUGUGUGUGUGUGUGUGUGUGUGUGUGUGGUGGGGGGUCUGUCCUCCUCACCCUGCGAGGUUCUGUGUCCUUGCCAAUGUCAAGCACUUGUUUAGAGAUUUGAUCCACCACCCAAUGUUGGAUGAUCAGCAAUGCCGGGCCUGAUCAGCUUUUUAUGUUAGCUUAAUCUUGUCAGUGAAACCUGAUAUAUUCUGUUCUUUUCAGCAACAGAAAUGACCUGCUUCUCAGCCUAUUCAAACAACUGUGAUUCUUGCAGAAUCCAUAAUCAUUUCUAUUAAGAAUUUGAACGUGUGGGAUAUUCUGAAGUGAAGGCACAAUUCUGCAUUCAUCCCAACAUAAGCUGGCCCAUAUGAAUACAGAAUGGCCCCAUUACAUUCCAGCAGCUUCUUUUUUAGCUGACUGAGAAAUGCAUAAGGAAUAGAAUGAGAGAGAGAGAAUCUUUUACAAUUUGAAAGAGAGAGCAGAGACUAUUGGUCUGAGGGGGAGACAAAGCAGUAGGAUCUCAUAUUAGCGCAAAGUCACAAAGACUGCUCUGCAGAGAGCACUUAAUGAAACCAUUUGUAAAAGAGUAUAUAUCUCUCUCAACACUGUCUGCAUUAGAGGGCAUUCAUGCAGAAAUUAAAAAAAAAAUUGAAUGGAGACUUUGAGCUUAAAUGCAUUUAAGGUACAAUUUUGUCAACAUAAGUUGCACUUAUAAUUAGGCUGUCACAAAUAGUAAUUACUUCCAAUUAUUUUAAGCUGGUAAAUAAGAGCAGAAAAAAUACUGUAAUGAUUAAACCUUGCUGUUUUUUGGUUGAGAUCCAUGCAGACAAUAUGUUUGCAUGUACAGUAUAUGCAGAAAUUUUCAGGUAAAAGGAAACUUUAUUGCAUGGCAACCAAAUGAUUAAGGACCAAUGCAUGUAUGUGACUUGAAUGCCUAUAUCUGUUUGCCUGUCAAUAGUGCACACUUUUUUUAUAUACGGUAUAUAUAAAAAAAUUCCCCUUAGCGCUACAGACUAAGCGAGUACUUGUAAAUCUUUGACUACAAAGCACACAUUUCAGCACAGAGUCUCUUUGGAGACCAUAAGUCUGCAGGUUUAGAAGAGUACACUUGAAUGCUAUAAAUCUGGAUCAGUACAUUUGUUCUCUCCCAGAUGUACCGCUCUCGUUCAAAUUGCUAGACUGCAGAGUGGAUUUUUUUUCCACUGAAAUUAUCAUGAAAAUCCACUUAAAUGUCCCCCUAUACCUAGUCCCUAUAAAUGGGGACUGUUUUAUUACUUUCAGUCAUUACAGUAUUGGAGAAAUACUGCAAAAAUGACAUCUUAGCAUGUGAAAAUAUCUUGAAUAGAUCUAGUAUUUCCUAUUAUAAGAUUACUAUAAACUAAAUAUAAGACUAUUAAAACUAUUUCUAGAUAUUUUUACUGAUUUCAAGUUUUAAAUUUUCAUAUUUUAUUGGCAGAAACUGUUGCUUCUUUUAAGAAAUAAAUGCUUAAAAUUAGCCAUAUUAUCACAAAUGCAAAAUGUCUCAAAAGGUUUAAUAAUCUUAUAUUUGGGAUAUUGACAGCCAUCCAUCCAUCCAUCCAUUUUCUGGACCGCUUAUCCUACACUGGGUCGUGGGGAGCCUCGAGCCUAUCCCAGGAGACUCGGGAUACAAGGCGGGGACACCCUGGAUGGAGUGCCAACCCAUCGCAGGGCACAAUCACACGGCACAAUCACACACAGACAUUUACACACCCAUUCAAACACUACAGACAAUUUAGAGAUGCCAAUCAGUCUACUCUUUGGACUAGGCAGGAACCCGGAGUACCCAGGGAAAAUCCCCAAAGCACGGGGAGAACAGGCAAACUCCACAGAGUGGAGGCAAACGUGCCUCCCUGGUAUUGACAUAUUUGGAAUAUUUUCUUUAAAAAUAUUAUGGCUAUAUAACCAAGCAAUUUACAUGUUUAUUUGCAUGAUUAUUGGCAUUGUGCCCAAGUUUCAUAGAGUGAUACCACUGACACCAAAACUCCAGAACACUACCAGUUGGGAAAGUAACUGAUUCCUCAACAUGGACAGCACCCUGUGAUAAAGAAGACAAAACAAAUGCAUAUGCAGCUGAGCCAUGCUGGAAUCAAGUGUGCAUCCUUGGAGACUUCUCAUCAGUGUAAUCACACAUGGCAAGUGGCUCAUGAGAAGGAGGACAAAAACAAUUAUUGGAGAAGACAGCUGAGAAGAAAGAUUGAGCAAUGACAUUUAUUGUUUACAUCUAGCUCUCCUCUUUGUUUGCUUCUCUGAAAUUCUGCUGACUAAGUUUGGACUCCAGCCCGGUUAUAAGCUCUGACCCACUGACAGCCAGACCCAGAAGGGAUGGAUGGAAACCCCAGUGUAAGGCAAGUUCCAAGGGGUGCCUUAUGCCCCCACAGGAAGAUGACCAUGCAUCUGUUGUUCCACAGAGACACAGCUGUUAUGCAUGGUAAGUGUGGAGGGAUAGCCAGUCUGGGAGUUAGUUGCUUUAGGUAGCAUGAUCAUGCUGCUGCAUCCCUCCAUGCAGGACAUAUGCUUUAUCUCUCUGGCAAAUCUCUAGUCCAAAAUCCAAAGCAGAAACACAGGCAAAGGUAGGCACACAAUAAAUCAAUACAUUCGAGGAAAAGGGCAAAUGCAGAAACUCAGAAACAAGAUAAACAAGACAAGGGUUAUACACAGAAUAUCAGUCAAGGCACAAACCUCUCAGAUCUUACAAUAAUGAACAUCCUGGAAGGAACAUCUGUCCCCUGCAAAAUGCUCAAGACUAUCUCUCAAGACCAAAAAAACAAGUAUUACUGCCCAUUCUUUAAAAAAAAAAACACAUCGAAUGAUGGCAGCUAAUGAGCGAUAUCACUUUUUCUUUUCAUAAUUUGAACAAUUAGUUGUCUCUCAACAGGAUAUUCUCAGUUAAGCAGUUCGUUUGAGACAGACUGUUAUGGAGAAGUGUAGACACCACUAGAUCAGUCAACACUGCAAAAGAAUUACAUCUUAGUAAGUGGAAAUACCUUAGUAAGUGGAAAUACCUUAGUAAUAUAGUCAUAUUUAGCUAGUAUUUCCUAUUAUAAGAUUUUAAUAAAGCAAAUAUGAGAUUAUUAAGCUUAUUUCUAGUCAUGUUUACUCAUUUUAAACUUGAAAUGGUCUACUGGCAGAUGAUUUUGCUAAUUUUGGGGCAUUUAUUUACAAAAAGAAGCAAAAUUCUCUGACAAAAAAAUAAGAAAAUUUGAAAUUUGUAAAAAAAAAAAUCUAGAAAUAGGUUUAAUAAUCUUUGAUGUAUGAUAAUAAUAAUUGAUAAUAAUAAUGUUAAGUUACUGUAUGGCAGGAAUUCUCUCAGGUUGCUGGAAGGAUGGUGAAGGAAGCAUGAAAGCAGGAAACCCAUUUAUAGUGCUAUCUUGUUUAAGACGUGGAGGUAGGGCUGCCAACCCUGGAGGUAAGAUAGGUAGGGUUGCCAAUCCUCACAGACUGGCAGAAAGAAAUCAAUAAUUAGCCUCUGUUUUCUGUGAUGGAAAAAAAGGAUUCUUGGAUACAUACAUACAUACAUACAUGGUCCAUGUACUUUUGCGUCCAUUCCUUUUUCCUUUUUUAACCAUGACGAUAAAAAUAAAAAUAUUUAUUUUGUAUAUAAAAUAAUAAAUUAAACAUUUAACAUUUAUAAUAUGUAUUUUGCUGAAUAUCAACAUUGAAAUUAAAACUGUACACACAAAAUGCUCCACACAAAAUAAAAUAUUGACUUCUUUUAAGAUUUUUGUUUAUGACUUUUUGCACCUUUAUUAAACAUUUUAAAAAAACACACAAAUUUAUAUUGAAAAAAUUUCGAUUUUACAAGUUUUCUUUGCCCAAAUUUGACACCCAUAAAUUAUGGUUCUCCCGCAUUUUCAAAUGAGCACUUAGAGCCAUGUCUCUGGAACUAUACACAGAGGUAAUUUGUGACAUGAUUUUAAAACAAAAAACACACACGGACAUUGCAGAUCACCUGUUUCAACUAGGUCAAUCAACCACUGCUCUAAAACGUAGGUGUUUAAACUUUAAAGUUUAAACUUUGCCGGUUACAUGCUGCAACAAUCCGAUUGAAAUAAUGGGAGAAGCGCAUACAUAAAUUGAAGGGGGUGAAAUAGUUGGUCAUUUGCAUAUUUUUUAUUAUUAUUUGUUAUUACUGUUGUGUCCUUGAGCAAGGCACUCAACCCCAGGUUCCAGUGGAAUUGUCCCUGUGUACUUGAAUUUGCUUUAGAUAAAAGCAUCUGCCAAAUGUAUACAUGUGAUAUGUAAUAUUUCACUGAAUUUGUUCCAUCAUUCUAGGACCAACCUACGGUCGUAAGUUGACGACAGAUUAUUUGGUGGCAAAAGGAAUUCGAGCUGCUGAAAGUCAGCAUAUCAUUUAACGCCUGCUGUAAUCAACAAUGGAAUGUGGGAUGGGCCACAGAAAAGAGUUCUUUGUCUCAGAACUUCUUGACUGUUUAUUCAAGAAAUCCUUGCUGAGCACAGACUGAAUACAGAAACACCACCAUAUCGUCAGACCCAAUCAAAAAAUCAAACCUUGAGGUGGAUGGGCUACAACAGCAGAAGACCACAGUGAGUUCCACUCCUGUUUUACAAGAACAGGAAUCUGAGGCUAUCAUGGGCACAGACUCAUCAAAACUGGAUGGUUGAAUAUUUAAAAAAAAAAAAAAAUCACCUUGGUCUUUGUCCAGUGUUGAACUGUCCAGUUUGGGUUCAUUUGUUUUAUAUUUUGAAGUCUAAUAUGAAAUUUAAGAUAACUGAAAUGACCUUUACUACUUCAUUUAAUAUUGUCAUACUGUAAUUAAUCUUGCAAAAAGUAGUUCAAAACAUUAUCAUUUAAUAGUCAUUUAAUGGGACUAGGCAUAAUAUAAACAGGGAUUACAUUAAGGAGAGUUUAGAGGUAAUAAUUUGUGUUAUGUUGCACCACUUACUUUAAAAGAUGACUUAACUAAUCAGCAAUUGAAAUCUUAACCUGUGAUUAAUACCUUGUCCUGAAAUUAAUUUUGAUUGCCCACCAUGAUGGAUUCAAGUUGACAGUAAUGGUGUUAUUCUUGAGACUAAUCAUCACACUUUUUCCCCUUCCCUUUUAAGUAAAUGUAACAUAGGCCUACAGAAAUGCAAAUGAAUGUACAAUGUGCUUCCAUUCUGCAAAUUUAAACUAUAACUGCAGGUUUAUGGUUGGAUCAUGUCCGUUAUUUUUCUGUGUGGAAUUCACUGUUGAUGCUUUAACUACUGAGGGCUAUGAUCUUCACAUAUGAAACCACCACAUGGCAGUUCAGAAUUAAUACUUGAUUAGGUUAAAUCUGACUCUGUGGUGUUCUUGCACCACAGGUUUAACAGCUAAACCUUGGUUUUAACUAAUUUAGGACUACAUCACUGUUGGUGCAAACCAAAUCUUGAUUAGUUUUUCAAGGCCUAGGGGUCCUGGAGACCCAUUGUCCUGCAUAGUUUUAACUAUUCCUUGCAACAUACCUGAUUCACCUCACACCGUAAUUAUCCAGCCCUUCAUGAGGGGUUUAGGUGUGUUUAGAAAAUUGUAAACUAAGCAGUGCUGCAUAUCACCAGGAGCUGGAUUAAAACACUAAAUAACAAACAUAUAUACAAUGCUAUAUGUUUUACUACCUCAUAAAAGGUAUUGGCAGGUAUUUGAAGUACAGGAGAAUCAAGUCAUACAAUAAUAGCAAAUUCUGCUGCAAUUAUUAGCAAAUAAAAUAAACCAACAGUUUUCAUUAAAGUUACACAAUUAACAUUUUAAUGAACUUUGUGAAAGUUCUUUCUGUUUGAGAGGUGCUGAGUUAAUGUUACCUAAAUUUCCUAGCUAGUUAGGAUCAUUGCAUCCUGGAAUUACCCCUAAAUUACCUCAGUUAAUUGGUAUUCUUUCUAAUUACAUUUAUUUUAAAAUAAAUUUAGCCAAACCAAACAAUACCAGACUAAACAAAUUACUUGUACACUUUUACAUCACAUUAAAUUUUGAGUUAGGCUAGCUCGCUAAAGCAGGUCAGUUCAUCCAGUUAGCUAGCUAGACAUAAACUGAGUUAAUUAAUUGGCUAUCCAUAUCCAUACCAUUUAAGUCACAUGUGUCAAACACAACCCCCUCAGACCAGCACCUUUUCAUUUGGCCCAUGUGAACCUGGAAAAAAAAAAUAGUGAAAUGGCCCGCAGUUGGCCUAUGCUACUGCUCAACAUUUUCACACAAUCCAGAAUUCACAGCAGAUUGAUGGCGUAUCGAACGCAAUUGUACAGCGCACAAACCCAUCUCAUGCUGCUUAAUUAAAACCGAUGAUUGAAAGCCUUUUUUUCUGCUCUUUAAAAUAUCCGAAGGGUAGUUACCAUAAACUACCCUGUGUUGUGCUGGCAGUGGCGUAUCCAGAAAUUAAUUUCAGUGGUAUGAGGAAAUAUACAAAAUACAAUCACAGUUGUCUUCCUGAUCUGUACAAUUAAAUUUUUACCACCAAACAGUCUUCCCAUAUUAAUAAUAUUGCCAUAAAAUACCUUUAUGGCCAUUCCACUGAAACGGCACUCUCAGGCACUGAAUCCAAAUACCUUCACCUGAGAGUCUUGCCAACAUAGUCUGGUUUGAUGUGCAGCUGCAUAUGGGAUGCAGAGCAAAAGAGGGCAACCGCCAACUGAAGCCAGAAUCAUAUAUCAUUUAAUUUUUGUUACAGUGCAGCUUGGUUGCUCUACACUGUAACAAAAAUGAUAUUGCUGGCAAGUGAAAACAGCUAGGGGAAAGUGAGCAUAAUAGUUGCUGAUGGUAGAUACACAUGUGGCUACAAUGUAACUGCAACAUGAUUAGAACAAUUUUUUUCUUUCUCCUAAGGUUAGGUAUACUAGAGAGGCCAUGGGGAUGAACAUCCUUGUGAAUCGUCCCUGCAAUCUUACUGGUGCCCAAACUACAAUGAGAGAAGUUGCUGGAGCAAUAUCCUUGCUUCUGGCACUGCAUUAGUAAAAGGCAACUGUCUAGAGUCAAAUAGUACUGUACCAGUAAAAAGUUACUUUAACACGUACCACGUUGUUGCGGACCAAGUACACCCCUUCAUGGCAACGGUAUUCCCUAAUGGCAGUGGCCUCUUUCAGCAGGAUAAUGCGCCCUGCCACAUUGCAAAAAUUGUUCAGGAAUGGUUUGAGAAACAGGACAAAGAGUUCAAGGUGUUGACUUGGCCUCAAAUUCCCCAAUCCGAUUGCAUCUCUCAAAUCGCUCUUCAAUGGCCAUUAGUAGGCAUUCCUAUCUUUACUUACCACCAGUUGCCAUGGUUUCAUAGGUAGCCUGAGGCUAGUGGUCACACAAAUGAUAGUGCUAUCUACAGACUAUAGGUGAUCCUGCCCAUUUGAGCACAAAUCAAAGUCAAAACAUGUCUUCAAGCUAAAACUGACAAGUCUCCAUUUUGUCUGCAAAAUACCAAUACUCAGGGGAAAUGCUCAUGUAUAAAUCAUGUGCAUUACUAUACUUGUUGGACAGUUCCAUGCUGCAUCACAUGACCACAGCUCAUUCCUUCAACUCAAAUGAGGCUAAAUGGAAAUGUGAUCAUUGGACAUUUUAAAACUUGAAGUUAAUCCAAAGAAAGAUUCUUAAACUGUUAAGGGGAGAAGAUAAUUUUCGAAACAGAUGCAAAAUUGUGCAAUGGAUGCAAAAAAAAAAAAAAAAAAUAGAUUUUGUGCAAAGUAAUGAAGUGCAACUCAUGCAAAAAACAGCUCCAGGGAGAUGGGUAACCAUGGUGAAAAUAAUAAUUGCACUGUGUUUAAAAUUCUGUUUCAGCUUCCGUCUGGAAGGGGUCUAUGCUUUUUACCCCCGUUUAUCUCUUCAGCAGCACCUGGACAUAAGGUUUUUGUUUUGUGUCAAAUAUAGGAUUGUAUAAAUCGAAUAGGAUCAGAAAUUAAUGAAAUGAUUUAACUAAUACUAAUGCUGGUUACUAAAGCAACAGCUAGCAUUCAAGAUAAAAUAUAAAUAGUAACUAUAAAAUCUUCAGAUUUUCUCAGGGACUGAUAGUAAAACAAACUCAUCUUAUUUAGCAUUGCUGGCAUUGCUGGCAGCAGGAUGACUAACUAUGAUGACAUUGAGAAAAGUAAAGGCAUUUUCAAUAAGUGAUUUCAUUUUUUAACUCAAAAAUUAAGUUUACCUAGCAGCUACAAAAUUAUUUUUAUUUAACUUAAAGCUUAAUAAGUUACUUAAUAAGCUUAAAACUUUAAGGGAAGCUGGGUUUUUUUUAAAAGAUAUACAGCUGUAAAAUGAACAGAAAAUGCAGUCAAAACAUUGACAAGGAUAGAAAUGAUAAUUUUUGCUUGAAAUAAGAAUUUUUUCCUUCAAAUUUUGCUUUUGUCAAAGAAUCCUUUGCCUUGCAGACCUUUGGCAUUCUUGCUGUCAAUGUUUUGAGGUAAUCUGAGGAAAUUUCACCCCAUGCUUCGUCACACACCACCCACAAGUUGGAUUGGCUUGAUGGGCACUUUUUUACAAACCAUACAUUCAAACUGCUCCCACAACAGCUCUAUAGGGUUGAGAUCAGGAGACUGUGCAGACCAGUCCGUUACAGAAUAUCAGCUGACUGCUUCUUCUCUAAAUAGUUAUUACAUAGAUUGGAGCUGUGCUUUGGGUCACUGUCCUGUUGUAGGAAGAAAUUGGUUCCAGUCAAGCACCAUCCACAGGGUAUGGCAUGACAUUGCAAAAUGCAGUGAUAGCCUUCCUUGUUCAAGAUGCCUUUUAUCAUAUAUAACUCUCCCAUUUUAGCACCACCAAAGCACCCCAUACCAUCACCUUUCCUCCACCAUGCUUCACAGAUAGUGUCAAGCACUCCUUCAGCAUAUUUUCAUUUAUUCUGCAUCCCCAAAUGUUCUUCUUUGUAUGACUGAUGAGUUUCAGAAGGGAGUUCUUUUUUAUGGCCAUUUUGAAAUAAAUUGAAGAUAUAAUCAAACCCAAAAAUGCUGAUGCUCCAGAUACUCAACUAGCCUAAAGAAGGCCACUUUUAUUGCUUCUUUAAUCAGCAUAACGGUUUUCAGCUGUGCUAACAUAAUUGCAAAAGGGUUUUCUAGUGCACAAUUAGCCCUUUAACAUGAUAAACCUGGAUUAGCUCUCACAGUGUGCUGCUGGAACACAGGAGCGAUGGUUGCUGAAAAUAAUCCUAUUUACACCUAUGUAGAUAUUCCAUUAAAAAUCAGUUUCCUGCUAUAAUAGUUAUUUACAACAUUGACAAUGUCUUAGACUGUAUUUGUGAUCAAUUUAAUGUUGCAUAUUUGACACUAGUAAUAUAAAAUAUAUAAUGGUCCAUCUAUGUUUAUCUGAAUAUUUCAACAGAAUACACAAUAAACUGAAUUGCCUGUUUAUUAGGUGCCCUGUCUUGUAACUAGACUUGCUGCAUGCCCUGCAUAAGACAAUACAGUGUUUUCACAGAGGAAAAACACUCGGUUGGCAGUUUAUUACCCUUUACCAUAUAGCAUAUAGCUACACUCACUGGCCAAUUUAUUAGGUACACCAAACCAUAUAAGUGCACUUUUAUGUUUAAAAUUACUGACUGUAGCCUGUCUGUUACUGCACAAUAUAUCUGCCCUCUUCUACCUUGACCAUCAGUGCAAAGGCACCACCAGUAACAAGAUAUCAUUUGGGUGGUGGGGGCAUGAAAGUGUGUAUGGUGCUGGUGCAAGUGUAUCAGACACAGCCAUGUUGCUGGGGUUUUAACACAAAUCAGUAUCACUGCUGUGGUGUGAGUGAUCCAUUACCCAAAAAUAUCCAACAAAAAGUGUCUCUGUGGUCAGAAACUGACCCCUGAUGAAGGACUAGAGGGUGGCACAAGUUGGGCAUCAGCAGGCUGCAGUUUCUAACUGAACACCAGCAAUGUGGAGCUACUAGGGAUGGGUUCUAAUAACAUGACUAUUGAGUGUACACAGUGAUUAAUAAUCCUAACAGUAUUGAUGUGCCUGAUAAAUGUGUUCUAAUGCAACAUCCACUUUCAUGCCACUACCAUGUCAGUGCCACUGCUCUACUGAUUGUGCUGAGAAUGGUUCACUACCCAGCAACAGUCAUUAAGUGAAACCUAUAAAGUGCACUCUUAAAACAGGUGUGUUAAGUACAAUGCAGGUGCACCUAAAAAAAAGGUAACUAUGCGUAUAUUUAACCUUUGUUAAAACCUUGCACUGUGUUAUGCAAAGCAUGUAUGUUUCAUCAUUUUUACAGUACAACUGUGGACGAGUAUGUUCUGCCUGGUGAUGGAACAAGAAGUAGGUGCUAGGAAUUCUGGAAGUGAGCGCUACCACUCAGAAGCCCAUACAGAAAAUUGUCUCAGGCAGGUCAAGUGAGCAACUCCUACUUAUUGUGAGAUGCUAUGUGAGGAGAGGUACCAGUGUCAUAAAUGAUGAGUAGCAAGCAUAUAGAGGUCUUUCAGAUCUUUGCUCUGACCACUAUACUGUUUGCCACAAAAGAAGUUUUGUGCAUCCUCUCAGCAGGGCCCACACUCAGCACCUAGAGAAGGCAUGGCAAAAAUUUAAGGCUCAUGUGUGGUGACACCAAACACACACAAAAUUAAAACACAAAGCUUCUAAAAGAAUACUUAAAGGUUACAGAAUGGGAACCUCUAAAUUUUCUCAGACUUUAUUUAAAAAUAUAUUUGAAUAGUGUUUUUGUCAAGCUGUUAAAAAACAUGUAAAACAUUCUUUUGAGUAUGUAUUUUUCCUAAACUGAAUGAA